rnacentral:rRNA from 1 species
GAUGAACGCUGGCGGCGUGCCUAAUACAUGCAAGUCGAGCGAACAGACGAUGAGCUCUCUCCUCUGACGUUAGCGGCUGACGGGCGAGUAACACGUGGAUAACAUUCUUAUUUUACGUGGAUAAUUUCGUGAAACCGGUGAUACUACCGCCGAAUAUAUCGUACCGCUUGGAUCAAUAGAUCAUGACGCCUUUGCUGACUCUAUUAGAUGGUUUCGGGGCCGAUUAUUUAGGUGGUAAGGUAACGGCCAACCAAGGCGACGAUGCGGAGCCGACCCGAGAGGAGGAUCAGCCACACUGGAACUGAGACACGGUCCAGACUCCUACGGGAGGCAGAAGUGGGGAAUAUUGGACAAUGGGCGCAAGCCUGAUCCAGCCAUACCGCGUGGGUGAAGAAGGCCUUCGGGUUGUAAAGCCCUUUUGUUGGGAAAGAAAAGCAGCAGGUUAAUACCCCGCUGUUCUGACGGUACCCAAAGAAUAAGCACCGGCUAACUUCGUG